CCUACGGGCGGCAGCAGUGAGGAAUAUUGGUCAAUGGGCGGGAGCCUGAACCAGCCAAGUCGCGUGAGGGAAGACGGUCCUAUGGAUUGUAAACCUCUUUAGUCGGGGAGCAAUGCCGGGCACGCGUGCCCGGAGGGAGAGUACCCGCAGAAUAAGCAUCGGCUAACUCCGUUCCAGCAGCCGCGGUAAUACGGAGGAUGCGAGUGGUAUCCGGAUUUAUUGGGUUUAAAGGGUGCGUAGGCGGAUUGUUAAGUCAGCGGUAAAAUGUCCGGGCUCAACCCGGGCCGGACGUUGACACUGGGGAUCUUGAGUGGGGGAGAGGUAUGCGGAAUGCGUGGUGUAGCGGUGAAAUGCAUAGAUAUCAGGAAGAACUCCGAUUGCGAAGGCAGCAUACCGGCGCCCGACUGACGCUGAGGCACGAAAGCGUGGGGAUCGAACAGGAUUAGAUACCCUGGUAGUC
rnacentral:rRNA from 1 species